UGCAGAAGUCUCUCAGAACACUUGAAUUACAAUAUGCUGAAAGGUGCUGCUGUUUCUUCAAGAGGAGGAAGAGGAAAGCUCUCCAGAGACACAAAUGAAGACGAGAGAGAAACCCUGGUCUCUUUGUGCUUUCUCUCUCUCUCUCUCUCUCUCUCUCUCUGUCUCCGUCUCUAGCCCUCUUCAUAUAACCCUCUCUUUCCCCCUCAGUCCCCCCCCUCCCCUUCUGACCCUCAUUCUCUGCUGUCGGAGGUCCUGUAGUUUACCUUGGGUCGGCUGGACUGGCUGGACCACCGGGCAGCAGAAGAUGUUUGCUGAGCUGAUCUACUGGUUUUCGCUGCUCUGGAAUGAGCAGACAGACAGUAACGCGUUUGCUGUUCCACCUCGGAGCUUUAACUGUGGACUAGCUGUACCAGCGGUGGAGUCUUCGUGUUUUUAUGGUCACAAACUGAAACUGGAUCAACACAAACUGCUUGGGGGGGGGGGGGGACAAGUGACCACAAACACACAGUUGAUAGACUGAUUGGCUGACAGACUGGAUUCAGCUGGUUUCUGGCUAUGUUUUUGUUGUGUUUUUUUCUUCCUUACUGACUGGUUCAGAGGAGUGUAUUUCUGUGGAGAUGGACAACAAAAGGAUGGGAAGCAUCGAGACUGUCGGACCACACAAAACACACACACACACACACAUAUGUACAAACACGCUGCACACUUUCUCGAGCUCAUCGUAAAGAGACUUCAUGGACAAAAAGAUGCAGCUCUCGCACAUAGUCUAUAAAGUUUUUAUUCCCUCGGGUCAAAGGAAGUACACAUUGAGCGGCUUGGUCUAUUUCCUGCAACGGAUUGAGCUCCGUGUACUUCUCAGACACAUUCACCCCCCCCAAGAGGAAGACAAACCCUCACAACCACCAGAAUCAAACGUUUUAAAACAGAUGUUUAUGUGAAAACUAUGCUUUUCCCUGUUUUAAUUUGUAACUAAAAAGAAGACUGUCUACAAUUUUUUUUUUUUUGUUUGUGUCUUUUUGAGUUCAAAAAGUUUGUGUUUAGUAGUUUGGAGUGUUCCUCAAAAUGUUUUUUUUUUUUUUUAAUAACUUGUAUUUUUAAUUUUCUGUUUUUUUUUCCUCUUUCUCUCUGGGUUGGAGGAUGGAAAGUCUGAUAUCUCCAUUAAAAAACAACCAAACAAAAUAAAAGCUGAUCUUUAUUUAA